UACGUAGGGUGCAAGCGUUGUCCGGAAUUAUUGGGCGUAAAGAGCUCGUAGGCGGUCUGUCGCGUCGGCUGUGAAAACCCGGGGCUCAACCCCGGGCCUGCAGUCGAUACGGGCAGACUAGAGUGCGGUAGGGGAGACUGGAAUUCCUGGUGUAGCGGUGAAAUGCGCAGAUAUCAGGAGGAACACCGGUGGCGAAGGCGGGUCGCUGGGCCGUAACUGACGCUGAGGAGCGAAAGCGUGGGGAGCGAACAGG
rnacentral:rRNA from 1 species